ensembl:lncRNA DRAIC downregulated RNA in cancer, inhibitor of cell invasion and migration
GGGCGUGAGGAACACCAGCCAAGUCCUUCUGGCUGCGGUUAAAAGGGCUCACCAGCCUCUCCCUGAAGUCUUGGCCCGGGAGCCUGUGUCCUCCAGGUAGCUGUGCUGUGGGGAGCUGGAGAGGACUGAAGAGCUGAGGAGGCGAAAUGCAGAAAUGAUAAUGCCUCACAAGCUGGUUGUACAGAUUGAAUAACAAUGUGAACAGAGCACCGAGUAUAAUCCCUGAAACAGCAAACCAGAGGUCCCGUCUGGCUGGCAUGAAUGGAAGGGCAAACGCUCCGACCAAAUUGCUCUGGGAAUGUCAUUCUAAUUAUUGGAUCCUGACCCAGCAGCAUGCUGAUAAGCUCUGGGUUGGAGACGCCCUAUCUCAGAGGAGCUCCAAACCUGCUCAAGGCCUUUUCUUGCCCUCUGCAACUUUCCUGCCAAGCAAUUAGCCUCCAGGGAAGAAGAGGAAAUUGGAACACGGACACGCACAGAGGAAAGACCAAGUGAAGAUACAGUGAGAAGAUGGCCAACGACAAGCCGAGGAACAGGGUCUCAGAGGACCCCAACCCUGCUGACACCUUGAUCUCGGGCUUUCAGCUUCCAGCACUGUGGCAAAAUUCAUUUCUACUGUUUAGGCCUCCCGGUCUGUGACAUGUUGUCACGGUGGCCACUGAAGACUCAGACAGCUUCCUUCUAGCUCUGGUUCUUCUACCGGUGUGCUUUCAGGUGCUCCGGAGGGCCCGGUGGCAGGGAAAGCCAGGUCUCCAGGCUCCUGGCCCAGGGCGUGUUUAGGAGGCAGGGCCUUCUCUGACACAAGUAUGAGGAGCAGAGAGGUUUCUCUUCUUCAGUCUCCACUAGGUCCUGGCCUCCAUGGCUUCUAUAGGCAGGGACCUGGCCAGGGCAUUCACCAGAGACUUUGACAGGGAGUCCAGGCCCAGACCCCAUAGGCAGAGCCAGGAGCCCUGUGCCAGCUUCCCAGGGAGCACCGGGGCCCAACGUAGAGUCAAGAGCUGGCAUCAGCACAGGUGCAAGGUGGGGUUGGGAAGGGCAUGGCAGCUUGGGGGUCUGCAGUGCACAGGUGGCCUGGCAUGAGGUAGGUGGGCCGGCUUGAAGGUCUAGAAGAUGGAUAGACACCAGAGACUUGUAGUCUAUGUCUCCUUCUUGCUGUCCCCUGGAUGUCACCUCCCCUCUGCCCCCAGUGCUGAACUAACCCCCUUCAUCUUUUACUUGGGACUCCAUCAGUGACUCAUCAUUGCUUUUGGUGUGACUUACCAGCGGCCGCUCCGUCUGCCUCUUCCUUCCCCUCCAGGGUCAUUUUGAACACUCUUCCUUCCUGACAACUAAACUUUUCACUGUUUCCCAUCAUAACAUGUUAUUUUAUACUUCAUUUAACUAUCCACCCACCUAUCCAUUUAUCCACCCACCUACCCACCUAUCCAUCCACGCACCCACUCAUCCAUCCAUCCAUCCAUCCAUCCAUCCAUCCAUCCAUCCAUCCAGCAAAUAUUUGCCUAGUGU